rnacentral:lncRNA from 1 species
AUCAGAAGCUUAUUUAUCUCAUUGGGGUGCUAGUUCUCUUACAGAGAUCGUAUCUUGAUGGUUGAAAAUCUUCUUUUCUCUCAAGACACUCUUAGAGAAGAAGAAAAAAAUAGGAGUUCUAUGCUAGAGAUCAUAAGAAGAAUUCUUUCUUCUCUUUUCUUCCUUAAACCCAUGUACCAAAUCUCUAUACUAGAGAUAUAAAAAUUUUGUUCAACUUUUGGACAAAGAGAAGAGGAAAAGCCU